rnacentral:lncRNA from 1 species
AAUCGGUUCGUUGACUUAUACAUUAAAUAUUUUUUUAGUUUUAAAAAAUACGAGUAAAAUAAAUGUAACAAUAUUUCUAAAAAAACCAUUUUAAAAAUACUAAUUUAAUUGAAAUAAUACAAUAUUUAAAUAAAUGAACUAAAUUUAAAAAUUUAUGAAAUUACCAAAAGCCCCCUUUUCCUCUUUUCUCUUUUUCUUCUUCUGGGCCUAAUAGAUGUUGGGCUGCCAAAUUUGGGCUGUCAAAAGGACUGGGCUGAAGCUGCUGGGCUGCUGAGCACUGGGCCUGACGCUGGACUGGGCUGGCCUGCUUCUUGUUGGGCUGCGCUGGGCUUGGUUUGGGCCUGCUUUGUUCUUUUUUGCUAUUCUGUUUUUUUUUUGCUGUUUUGUUUUUUUUUUGGGCGUUUUGUUUUUUUUUGGGGCUGCUGGGUGUUGGAUCGGGUCGGGUCGGUGCGGGUCAACCCGACUGGGUUUAAAAAAAUAUUUUUUUUUUCUUCUUUUUUUUUUUCCCUUCCUUUCUUCUCUCUUUUUCUUCUUUUUUCUUCCUUUUUCCUUCCUCUUCGGGGCUGAACUCUAGCCCAACGCCGCCGCCGACGCCUCCUCCGUCCGGUGUUGCGGUGGCCGACACGACUCCCUUCUCCUCUCUUUCUCCCUUUCUUUCUUCUCUUCUUCCUUUUUGGUUGCUAUUUUUGCUUGCUGUUUUUGUUUCUUCUUUUUGUUUUUUCUUUGUGCUUUGCUUUGUAGGUGCAACGGUGGUUAGAAGAAUGCAAGGCACGGCGGUGGGCACGGUGGUGGUGAAGGCGGUGGUUUGGAGAGCGCGACGGUGGUGAGGGCCCUUUCGUUGCUCUUUUUUGUUUGAUUUUUUGCUGCUGUUUUCUUAGUUUUCUUUCUUUCUUUUUGCAAAAAAAAGAACCCCCCAUUCACUCUCCAUUUCUUCCCCUUUUAAUCUCUCCAAUUUGUCUUCUUUCUAAUUGUUUUCAGGUGGUAGAGGAGCCAUCAUGGCCUAGGGAGGCUGCUGGAGUAGCCCGGCUGGGGAGGGGUAGGCUCGGCAGUUGCUUGCGGCGAUUUGACAAGUCCAGAAGGACUAAAUUGCAUGGGAUGCAAAGUUUCUGGGGCAAAAGCGUAAUUUUAGCAAAAUACGGGCCAAGAUGUAAUUUCUUGAGAGUUUAGGGGUCAAAGUGAAAUUUUGAGAAAGUAUAAGGGUCGAAAUGUAAUUUUAUAAAGUUUUGGGGUAAAAAUGUAAAUUUUAGAAAAUUUUGGGGUCAAAAUGUAAAUUUUGAAAAGUACAGGGGUUAAAAUGCAAAAAAUAAAAAAAAUUCUUUUUUUUUCAAACACGAAAUUAAUCCCGGACAAAAUUCAGUGAUU